UACGUAGGGUGCAAGCGUUAAUCGGAAUUACUGGGCGUAAAGCGUGCGCAGGCGGUUGUGCAAGACAGAUGUGAAAUCCCCGGGCUCAACCUGGGAAUUGCAUUUGUGACUGCACGGCUAGAGUGUGUCAGAGGGAGGUAGAAUUCCACGUGUAGCAGUGAAAUGCGUAGAGAUGUGGAGGAAUACCGAUGGCGAAGGCAGCCUCCUGGGCCAACACUGACGCUGAGGCGCGAAGGCCAGGGGAGCAAACGGG
rnacentral:rRNA from 1 species